UAACUCUAAUGUUAGUCGGGAAAGUUUUUCGCUAAGAGAUCGGCCUAUUUCCCAUCAGCUUGUUGGUAGUGUAAGAGACUACCAAGGCUAUGACGGGUAGCGGGUUUGAGAGGAUGAUCCGCCACACUGGUACUGAGACACGGACCAGACUCCUACGGGAGGCAGCAGUGAGGAAUAUUGCACAAUGGAGGAAACUCUGAUGCAGCAACGCCGCGUGGAGGAUGACGCAUUUCGGUGUGUAAACUCCUUUUAUGAGUCAAGAAAAUGACGGUAGCUCAUGAAUAAGCACCGGCUAACUCCGUGCCAGCAGCCGCGGUAAUACGGAGGGUGCAAGCGUUAUUCGGAAUCACUGGGCGUAAAGGACGCGUAGGCGGGAAGCCAAGUCUGAUGUGAAAUCCUAUGGCUCAACCAUAGAACUGCAUUGGAAACUGGUUACCUAGAGUAUGGGAGGGGGAGAUGGAAUUAGUGGUGUAGGGGUAAAAUCCGUAGAUAUCACUAGGAAUACCGAAAGCGAAGGCGAUCUCCUGGAACAAUACUGACGCUAAGGCGUGAAAGCGUGGGGAGCAAACGGGAUUAGAUACCCCGGUAGUCCACGCCCUAAACGAUGUUCACUAGUCGUCGGGAUGCUAGUCAUCUCGGUGAUGCACUUAACAGAUUAAGUGAACCGCCUGGGGAGUACGGUCGCAAGAUUAAAACUCAAAGGAAUAGACGGGGACCCGCACAAGUGGUGGAGCAUGUGGUUUAAUUCGAAGAUACGCGAAGAACCUUACCUAGCCUUGACAUUGAUUGAACGGACCAGAGAUGGACCGGUGCCCUUCGGGGAACAUGAAAACAGGUGCUGCACGGCUGUCGUCAGCUCGUGUCGUGAGAUGUUGGGUUAAGUCCCGCAACGAGCGCAACCCUCGUCCUUAGUUGCCAGCAGGUUAAGCUGGGCACUCUAGGGAGACUGCCUUCGUAAGGAGGAGGAAGGUGAGGACGACGUCAAGUCAUCAUGGCCCUUAUGGCUAGGGCUACACACGUGCUACAAUGGGGCGUACAGAGAGUUGCGAUACCGCGAGGUGGAGCCAAUCUCAUAAAGCGUCUCUCAGUUCGGAUUGAAGUGUAAAACGACGGCCAAUGAAGUGUAAUACGAUUCUCAUUAGGAAGAAGAGGGCCCU
rnacentral:rRNA from 1 species